GGAGGGUGCGAGCGUUAAUCGGAAUUACUGGGCGUAAAGCGCGCGUAGGCGGCCUGAUCAGUCGGAUGUGAAAGCCCUGGGCUUAACCUGGGAAUUGCACUCGAUACUGUCAGGCUAGAGUAUGGGAGAGGGAAGUGGAAUUUCCGGUGUAGCGGUGAAAUGCGUAGAUAUCGGAAGGAACACCAGUGGCGAAGGCGACUUCCUGGCCCAAUACUGACGCUCAGGUGCGAAAGCGUGGGUAGCGAACAGGAUUAGAUACCCUGGUAGUCCACGCCGUAAACGAUGAGAACUAGAUGUCGGGAGGAUUUACCUCUCGGUGUCGCAGCUAACGCGUUAAGUUCUCCGCCUGGGAGUACGCCGGCAACGGUA
rnacentral:rRNA from 1 species